GGGCCCGGUACCGGUACUAGCUUAGUAGAAACCGAUUGAUCCCGUCCCGUCCCGUUUGAAUUAAUUAAAUUAAAUCUUUAAUUUUUUAUAUUAUUUGGUUGGUUUUGAUUGGGUAAUUUAAUGUGGGAACACAAAGGAAUGACACACCUGAUCAAAACAUUUUGACCUAACUCACCUAAGUCCCUAAGCAGAUGGCAGAUCUGCAUCCGAUCCCCAAUUCACCUCUUCUCCACUCUGGUUCUCUCCAGUCUCCAGAUAGAUUUAUGUUCGGCAGCACUCGAGCAGCGACUUCGCCUCCUUCAGCCCAGCGACGUCUAGCUGGUUGCCUGGUUCCCGAGCAGGAAUAAGAUUUUCCUUCUCUUUCCUCUGUUCUCCGUUGGUUCGGCUGUACGCACUGAGCCAGUGAUCACGACGAUUCUACGAACCGCCGCCUCUACCACCGAAGACCUGCCAACACCUCCGCCCCUACCACCGCCUCCGACCGCCGUACCUCCUUCAGAUUUACACGUUCAACAAUCCCGAAAGCAAAGGGGAAGGGAAGGGCUGCAGUGGUAAAUGUUGACUAAUGAGUUUAUGAGGUUGUGAGACUGAGUGUGAUGAAGUGAUGAAGGCUUUUUGAAAUGUGUUUAAUACUUCAAGACUUGUAGUUAACUAGUUUUUAACUUUUUAUCAUGUAAUGGACUUUAUAAGACCUACUGGACUUAUUGUUGAAUUCAUGAAUUGGUUUCUGUGUUUAUUCAUUUAUUGAACUUAUUGUUGGUCAA